rnacentral:rRNA from 1 species
AGUGAACGCUGGCGGUAGGCCUAACACAUGCAAGUCGAACGGCAGCACAGAGGAGCUUGCUCCUUGGGUGGCGAGUGGCGGACGGGUGAGGAAUACAUCGGAAUCUACUCUGUCGUGGGGGAUAACGUAGGGAAACUUACGCUAAUACCGCAUACGACCUACGGGUGAAAGCAGGGGAUCUUCGGACCUUGCGCGAUUGAAUGAGCCGAUGUCGGAUUAGCUAGUUGGCGGGGUAAAGGCCCACCAAGGCGACGAUCCGUAGCUGGUCUGAGAGGAUGAUCAGCCACACUGGGACUGAGACACGGGCCAGACUCCGACGGGAGGCAGCAGUGGGGAAUAUUGGACAAUGGGCGCAAGCCUGAUCCAGCCAUACCGCGUGGGUGAAGAAGGCCUUCGGGUUGUAAAGCCCUUUUGUUGGGAAAGAAAUCCAUCAGGUUAAUACCCGGGUGGGAUGACGGUACCCAAAGAAUAAGCACCGGCUAACUUCGUGCCAGCAGCCGCCGUAA